UUGCUUUGGCAGCACCUACAUUAAGGUUGGAAGGCUGCAGAGAAGAUAAGCCCCUGCUCAAGGAUGAUAUGCAAAUGGGUAAACUGCUCCUUAUUGUU
rnacentral:snRNA from 1 species